rnacentral:rRNA from 1 species
UACGUAGGGGGCAAGCGUUGUUCGGAAUUACUGGGCGUAAAGCGCGUGUAGGCGGUCUGGCAAGUCAGAUGUGAAAGCCCCGGGCUCAACUUGGGAACUGCAUUUGAUACUGCCAAGCUAGAGUACAGAAGAGGUGACUGGAAUUCCAGUGUAGCGGUGAAAUGCGUAGAUAUUGGGAGGAACACCAGAUGCGAAGGCGGGUCACUGGGCUGAUACUGACGCUAAGCGCGAAAGCCAGGGAGCGA